rnacentral:rRNA from 1 species
AUAGGGGAGCCGCAGGGAAACCGAGUCUUAACCGGGCGUUAAGUUGCAGGGUAUAGACCCGAAACCCGGUGAUCUAGCCAUGGGCAGGUUGAAGGUUGGGUAACACUAACUGGAGGACCGAACCGACUAAUGUUGAAAAAUUAGCGGAUGACCUGUGGCUGGGGGUGAAAGGCCAAUCAAACCGGGAGAUAGCUGGUUCUCCCCGAAAGCUAUUUAGGUAGCGCCUCGUGAACUCAUCUUCGGGGGUAGAGCACUGUUUCGGCUAGGGGGUCAUCCCGACUUACCAACCCGAUGCAAACUGCGAAUACCGGAGAAUGUUAUCACGGGAGACACACGGCGGGUGCUAACGUCCGUCGUGAAGAGGGAAACAACCCAGACCGCCAGCUAAGGUCCCAAAGUCAUGGUUAAGUGGGAAACGAUGUGGGAAGGCCCAGACAGCCAGGAUGUUGGCUUAGAAGCAGCCAUCAUUUAAAGAAAGCGUAAUAGCUCACUGGUCGAGUCGGCCUGCGCGGAAGAUGUAACGGGGCUAAACCAUGCACCGAAGCUGCGGCAGCGACGCUUAUGCGUUGUUGGGUAGGGGAGCGUUCUGUAAGCCGUUGAAGGUGGCCUGUGAGGGUUGCUGGAGGUAUCAGAAGUGCGAAUGCUGACAUAAGUAACGAUAAAGCGGGUGAAAAGCCCGCUCGCCGGAAGACCAAGGGUUCCUGUCCAACGUUAAUCGGGGCAGGGUGAGUCGACCCCUAAGGCGAGGCCGAAAGGCGUAGUCGAUGGGAAACAGGUUAAUAUUCCUGUACUCGGUGUUACUGCGAAGGGGGGACGGAGAAGGCUAUGUUGGCCGGGCGACGGUUGUCCCGGUUUAAGCAUGUAGGCGGGUGUUCCAGGUAAAUCCGGAACGCUGUUAACGCUGAGGUGUGAUGACGAGGCACUACGGUGCUGAAGCAACAAAUGCCCUGCUUCCAGGAAAAGCCUCUAAGCAUCAGGUAACAUCAAAUCGUACCCCAAACCGACACAGGUGGUCAGGUAGAGAAUACCAAGGCGCUUGAGAGAACUCGGGUGAAGGAACUAGGCAAAAUGGUGCCGUAACUUCGGGAGAAGGCACGCUGAUGGUAGGUGAAGUGAUUUACUCAUGGAGCUGAAAUCAGUCGAAGAUACCAGCUGGCUGCAACUGUUUAUUAA